rnacentral:lncRNA from 1 species
CUUUCUUCCUCCCUUUAAUAUGCACAUUAAUUAAAAUAUUUUUUUCUUUGCUAUUUGCACUGAUAAGUGAUCAUCAACGAAGGAAAGAAUAAUUAAGAUUCUAAGUAUCUCCAUUGUAAUUUGGGACCUUAAGUUCCACGGUAUAAAACUUUUUCUGGUAAAAUACUCUACUUUUGUAUUUGCCCUCAAUAGUUUUACAUAUUUUUCUUUUUUUCCAUUUACUACAGAGGCAGCAGCAAGGGGUGUUGCUAUGGCUGUCUGUCAAUUACGUGGGCAAGAACAUAGACUGGACGUGUUUCCAGAAGCUGCCCUUGACUACUACCUCAAACACAAUGCACUUGUCAUGAAGGUGACUUUGCAAGAAAGGCAUACGGAAUUUCACAUUUGGGAGAUAAUUCAGUGUCAUGAAAAAACUAUCAAAACCAGCAAACAAUGUUCAUUUUCUUCCUGAAUCUGCAAAGUAAGUGCAAAGAUUUCUUUUUUCAUUCCUUUCUAUUUGUUUCUAUUCUUUAGCAAACAUAACGAUGGUGAGGAAUUAUACUAAAAUAGCCUGUUUUGGCAAUUUCUUAAGUAUAUCACUUCUUUCUUAUUUUAG